ensembl:processed_transcript RIKEN cDNA E130307A14 gene
AUUUCCCUUCCCGUUAUCCAUAUUCUCUACCUUCUGAUUACUGACAAGAACAGCUACUAAACAGAUGAUUUGAAGUGAUUACUUAAUGGGUCAUGCUAGUAGAAAAAAUUGCCUGGAUGCUUCUAAAGAGGAUGUCUACCAGACCCCAUCCCGCACUAAUUAACUUAGAAGUGGGAACCCUUUAUAAAAUGUAAGCUCAAAGCUACUAUACCAGCAAUAUGUCUGCCUACCUGCUGCCACAUUCCUUGUCAUGAUAACCAUGGACUAAGCCUCUGAAACUCAGCAUCUGGGCAGCACCGGAAGCCCAGCGAGGACAACUCAGACUCAGGAGGCCGGGGACUCUGCAGAAGAGGUGCUCCAGGGCCUGGGUGCCACCAGCCAGCUCAGCUAGAAGAAUGCUGUGAGAACAGGCUGGCAUCGUCACAAGGGAACAAAUCAGAGCUGUGAGCCCGGGGUUCCACCAGCCAAUUCGGUCACCCUCAGGACCGUCCAUGUGGAGCAC